rnacentral:rRNA from 1 species
AACGAACGCUGGCGGCAGGCUUAACACAUGCAAGUCGAACGCACCGCAGGGUGAGUGGCAGACGGGUGAGUAACACGUGGGGAUCUGCCCAAUGGUACGGAAUAGCUCCGGGAAACUGGAAUUAAUACCGUAUGAGCCCGCAAGGGGAAAGAUUUAUCGCCAUUGGAUGAACCCGCGUCGGAUUAGCUAGUUGGUGAGGUAAAGGCGCACCAAGGCGACGAUCCGUAGCUGGUCUGAGAGGAUGAUCAGCCACACUGGGACUGAGACACGGCCCAGACUCCUACGGGAGGCAGCAGUGGGGAAUAUUGGACAAUGGGCGCAAGCCUGAUCCAGCCAUGCCGCGUGAGUGAUGAAGGCCUUAGGGUUGUAAAGCUCUUUCGCCGACGAAGAUAAUGACGGUAGUCGGAGAAGAAGCCCCGGCUAACUUCGUGCCAGCCGCCGCAGUAAGAC